rnacentral:rRNA from 1 species
CCGCCGCGACCGGCGCACGGGUGAGUAACACGUAUGCAACCUGGCCGUGACAGAUGGAUAACCGGGAGAAAUCCCGCCUAAUACAACAUAAUGCCGGGAGGGGACAUCCCCUGCCGGCCAAAGGGGCGACCCCGGUCACGGAUGGGCAUGCGGCGCAUUAGGUAGUUGGUGGGGCAACGGCCCACCAAGCCGACGAUGCGUAGGGGUUCUGAGAGGAAGGUCCCCCACAUUGGAACUGAGACACGGUCCAAACUCCUACGGAAGGCAGCAG